GUGAUGUUGCUGGGAGAUAAUAAUUUUCUAAAUAUAAGAGACCUUGAUUCAAUUGUUAUUGAUUCUCAAAAAGAUGAUCAAAUAUUAGAGAUUAUGCUAUAGAAUGUGAGAAGUAAUCCUAUCAUUCGGGUAGUCCCAAUAGUUAAUGUUGUUGAUGAAAGAUCUGCAGUAAAUCUUAUACAGUCAAGAGU